rnacentral:rRNA from 1 species
AAUGCGGGACUCUAAGAGGCCCCGUAAUUGGAAUGAGUACACCUUAAAUCGUUUAACGAGUAUCAAUUGGAGGGCAAGUCUGGUGCCAGCAGCCGCGGUAAUUCCAGCUCCAAUAGCGUAUAUUAAAGUUGCUGCAGUUAAAAAGCUCGUAGUUGGAUCUGGGGCUUGAGGUCGCUGUCUAUCGUUUCGGCGAUGACGGUGAUGCUCAGCUCUGCUUGCCGGUGACUGUUGCGGUGUUCUUCACUGAGCGCUGUAGCAGCACGGCACGUUUACUUUGAAAAAAUUAGAGUGCUCAAAGCGUGCUUGUCGCUUGAAUAAUGUUGCAUGGAAUAAUGGAAUAGGACCUCGGUUCUAUUUUGUUGGUUUUCGGAGCUUGAGGUAAUGAUUAAGAGGGACGAACGGGGGCAUUCGUAUUGCGGUGUUAGAGGUGAAAUUCUUGGAUCGCCGCAAGACGGACUACUGCGAAAGCAUUUGCCAAGAACGCUUUCAUUAAUUAAGAACGAAAGUCAGAGGUUCGAAGACGAUCAGACACCGUCCUAGUUCUGACCAUAAACGAUGCCGACCAGCGAUCCGUAGUGGUUGCUUUAUGGACCCUACGGGCAGCCCCCGGGAAACCAAAGUAUUUGGGUUCCGGGGGAAGUAUGGUUGCAAAGCUGAAACUUAAAGGAAUUGACGGAAGGGCACACCAGGAGCGGAGCCUGCGGCUUAAUUUGACCCAACACGGGAAAACUCACCCGGUCCGGACACCGUAAGGAUUGACAGACUGAUAGCUCUUUCUUGAUUCGGUGGAUGGUGGUGCAUGGCCGUUCUUAGUUGGUGGAGUGAUUUGUCUGGUUAAUUCCGAUAACGAACGAGACUCUAGCCUGCUAAGUAGUGUUGCUAUCGUUAUAUGGUUGACACUUCUUAGAGGGACAAGUGGUAUUUAGCCACGCGAAAUUGAGCAAUAACAGGUCUGUGAUGCCCUUAGAUGUCCGGGGCCGCACGCGCGCUACACUGGAGAAGUCAGCGUGUGUUAUCCAAGUCCGAAAGGACUGGGUAAUCCGUUGAACCUUCUUCGUGCUUGGGACUGUGCUUGGAACUAUUCCACAUGAACGGGGAAUUCCUAGUAAUUGCAAGUCAUAAGCUUGCGUUGAUUACGUCCCUGCCCUUUGUACACACCGCCCGUCGCUACUACCGAUUGAAUGGUUUAGCAAGGUCCUCGGAUCGUGGCCGUAGGGGCACGCAAGUGUUUCUGCGGUUUGCGAGAAGACGACCAAACUUGAUCAUUUAGA